GCGACGCGUCGACGUCAUCGAUUACGUCGACGCAAAAAAUACGUCGCGCAAAAACUGUGCGUCGAUGCGUCGUUUGAAAACAAACAAUGGCGGCAGCAAGUAGCGGCAGUAUCGAUACCAGCGAGUCAGUUGACGCUGAUCAAUGUAGAACACGAACUCGUAGUUCAAAGGUAUCGGACUAUUUUUCCGUAAAAGGACGCAGUUCUGUCUUUGUGUAACAUGGAGAUGGUUCAUCAUUCAUCAGCACGACGGCGACGCACCAGCACAUCAAAGGGCGGCAACCAGGCGCCGCUCGUGUCGAUGAUGAAACACUGAGAAGGUCAUGUGACCAGAUGACAGAGUGAUGGAGGAGGUCACAGCUCCAUCAGGGACAUGUCCUCCAGAGGUCUGACUGUCCUCAGCCAAUCAGACGACAGGAGCAAACAGCUGAUUGAGGAACAACGCAGCACAGAAGAAUCCAGGUCAGACUAACUUUACAUUACGACAGAAGCAGGAAACAGUCUGACUGGAGCU